ensembl:lncRNA
CCCCUGUAUAUAGCCUCCACAUUGACUCUGUACCGGUACCCCCUGUAUAUAGCCUCCACAUUGACUCUGUACCAGUACCACCUGUAUAUAGCCUCCACAUUGACUCUGUACCGGUACCCCCUGUAUAUAGUCUCCACAUUGACUCUGUACCGGUACCCCCUGUAUAUAGCCUCCACAUUGACUCUGUACCAGUACCAUAACCCCUGUAUAUAGCCUCCACAUUGACUCUGUACCGGUACCCCCUGUAUAUAGUCUCCACAUUGACUCUGUACCAGUACCCCCCUGUAUAUAGCCUCCACAUUGACUCUGUACCGGUACCCCCUGUAUAUAGUCUCCACAUUGACUCUGUACCAAUACCCCCUGUAUAUAGCCUCCACAUUGACUCUGUACCGGUACCCCCUGUAUAUAGCCUCCACAUUGACUCUGUACCGGUACCCCCUGUAUAUAGUCUCCACAUUGACUCUGUACCGGUGCCCCCUGUAUAUAGCCUCACUACUGUUAUUUACUGCUGCUCUUUAAUUAGUUGUUAUUCUUAUCGCUUACUUUUUUUGUGUGUAUUUUCUGAAAACUGCAUUGUUGGUUAAAGGUUUGUAAGUAAAGCAUUUCACUGUAAGGUCUACACAUUUUGAUUUGAUUUGCAAAACCUAAAGACUUGUAUCCAUCAAUCCACUAUCAGAUGCUGUGAGCCCUCAACAACAGGUUUACUUUGGAGCUGUUGGAUGUUGUCGUGUAAACAUCCCCAUAAUAGUAGUACUAAUAGAGUACUGUAGUAUAUACUACUGUGGGAUAUGAACAUAUCAUAUAUAACACUAUAAUGUGGGAUAUGAACAUAUCAUAUAUAACAGUAUAAUGUGGGAUAUGAACAUAUCAUAUAUAACACUAUAAUGUGGGAUAUGAACACAUCAUAUAUAUCAGUAUAAUUUGGGAUAUGAACAUAUCAUAUAUAUAUAUAUAUAUAUAUAUAUAUAACAGUAUAAUGUGGGAUAUGAACAUAUCAUAUAUAUAUAUAUAUAUAUAUAACAGUAUAAUGUGGGAUAUGAACAUAUCAUAUAUAACGGUAUAAUGUGGGAUAUGAACAUAUCGUAUAUAACAGUAUAAUGUGGGAUAUGAACAUAUCAUAUAUAACAAUAUAAUGUGGGAUAUGAACAUAUCAUAUAUAACAGAAUAAUGUGGGAUAUGAACAUACCAUAUUUUUGUACGGGUUAACAACCGUUAAUGGAAGUUGUCAGUAAUCCAUCUUAGGACAACCAGUUUUCCACGUCCCUGCUGCUAACCCUCUUGGUGCAGAUAGCAACGUAGUAAAGCUCCAUAGUUUGCUGUGCACCAUUAAAUAGACCUUCAAUGUCUUGAUGAGUGAUCCGUUCCUGCUGUUGGAGCAGUCUCCCUGCUGUAGGAGUAGUCUCUCUGCCGUAGGAGUAGUCUCUCUGCCGUAGGAGUAGUCUCCCUGCCGUAGGAGUAGUCUCCAUGCCGUAGGAGUAGUCUCUCUGCCGUAGGAGUAGUCUCUCUGCCGUAGGAGAAGUCUCCCUGCCGUAGGAGUAGUCUCCCUGCCGUAGGAGUAGUCUCCCUGCCGUAGGAGUAGUCUCCCUGCCGUAGGAGUAGUCUCCCUGCCGUAGGAGUAGUCUCCCUGCCGUAGGAGUAGUCUCCCUGCCGUAGGAGUAGUCUCCCUGCCGUAGGAGUAGUCUCUCUGCCGUAGGAGUAGUCUGUAGGAGUAGUCUGUGGGAGUCGUCUCUCUGCCGUAGGAGCAGUCUGUAGGAGUAGUCUGUAGGAGUAGUCUCUCUGCCGUAGGAGCUCUCUGUAGGAGUAGUCUGUAGGAGAAGUCUGUAGGAGUAGUCUCUCUGCCGUAGGAGUAGUCUCUCUGCCGUAGGAGCAGUCUGUAGGAGUAGUCUGUAGGAGUAGUCUCUCUGCCGUAGGAGCAGUCUGUAGGAGUAGUCUGUAGGAGUAGUCUCUCUGCCGUAGGAGCAGUCUGUAGGAGUAGUCUCCCUGCUGUAGGAGUAGUCUGUAGGAGUAGUCUCCCUGCUGUAGGAGUAGUCUGUAGGAGUAGUCUGUAGGAGAAGUCUCUCUGCCGUAGGAGUAGUCUGUAGGAGUAGUCUCCCUGCUGUAGGAGCAGUCUCUCUGCCGUAGGAGUAGUCUCUCUACUGUAGGAGUAGUCUCUCUGCCGUAGGAGCAGUCUCUCUGCCGUAGGAGCAGUCUCUCUGCCGUAGGAGUAGUCUGUAGGAGUAGUCUCCCUGCUGUAGGAGCAGUCUCUGCCGUAGGAGUAGUCUCCCUGCUGUAGGAGUAGUCUCUCUGCUGUAGGAGUAGUCUCCGUGCUGUAGGAGUAUUCUGUUGGAGUAGUCUCCGUGCUGUAGGAAUAGUCUGUUGGAGUAGUCUUCGUGCCGUAGGAGUAGUCUGUAGGAGUAGUCUCUGUGCUGUAGGAGUAGUCACCGUGCUGUAGGAGUAGUCUGUAGGAGUAGUCUCCCUGCUGUAGGAGUAGUCUGUAGGAGUAGUCUGUAGAAGAAGUCUCUCUGCCGUAGGAGUAGUCUGUAGGAGCAGUCUCUCUGCCGUAGGAGUAGUCUCUCUACUGUAGGAGUAGUCUCUCUGCCGUAGGAGCAGUCUCUCUGCCGUAGGAGCAGUCUCCCUGCCGUAGGAGCAGUCUCCCUGCCGUAGGAGCAGUCUCCCUGCCGUAGGAGCAGUCUCUCUGCCGUAGGAGCAGUCUCUCUGCCGUAGGAGCAGUCUCUCUGCCGUAGGAGCAGUCUCUCUGCCGUAGGAGCAGUCUCUCUGCCGUAGGAGCAGUCUCUCUGCCGUAGGAGUAGUCUGUAGGAGUAGUCUCCCUGCUGUAGGAGUAGUCUCCCUGCCGUAGGAGCAGUCUCCCUGCUGUAGGAGCAGUCUCCCUGCUGUAGGAGCAGUCUCCCUGCUGUAGGAGCAGUCUCUCUACUGUAGGAGUAGUCUCUCUGCUGUAGGAGUGGUCUCCAUUCUGUAGGAGUACUCUCCGUGCUGUAGGAGUAGUCUCCGUGCUGUAGGAGUAGUCUGUUGGAGUAGUCUCCGUGCUGUAGGAGUAGUCUGUUGGAGUAGUCUUCAUGCCGUAGGAGUAGUCUGUAGGAGUAGUCUCCGUGCUGUAGGAGUAGUCUCCAUUCUGUAGGAGUAGUCUCCGUGCCGUAGGAGUAGUCUGUAGGAGUAGUCUCCGUGCUGUAGGAGUAGUCUCCAUUCUGUAGGAGUAGUCUCCGUGCCGUAGGAGUAGUCUGUAGGAGUAGUCUCCGUGCUGUAGGAGUAGUCUCCAUACUGUAGGAGUAGUCUCCGUGCCGUAGGAGUAGUCUCCCUGCUGUAGGAGUAGUCUCCAUUCUGUAGGAGUAGUCUCCGUGCCGUAGGAGUAGUCUGUAGGAGUAGUCUCCAUUCUGUAGGAGUAGUCUGUAGGAGUGGUCUCCGUGCCGUAGGAGUAGUCUCCCUGCUGUAGGAGUAGUCUGUAGGAGUAGUCUCCAUUCUGUAGGAGUAGUCUCCCUACUGUAGGAGUAGUCUCCAUUCUUUAGGAGUAGUCUCCGUGCCAUAGGAGUAGUCUGUAGGAGUAGUCUCCAUUCUGUAGGAGUAGUCUCCCUACUGUAGGAGUAGUCUCCAUUCUUUAGGAGUAGUCUCCGUGCCAUAGGAGUAGUCUGUAGGAGUAGUCUCCAUUCUGUAGGAGUAGUCUGUAGGAGUAGUCUCCGUGCCGUAGGAGUAGUCUCCCUGCUGUAGGAGUAGUCUGUAGGAGUAGUCUCCAUUCUGUAGGAGUAGUCUCCCUACUGUAGGAGUAGUCUGUAGGAGUAGUCUCCAUUCUGUAGGAGUAGUCUCCCUACUGUAGGAGUAGUCUGUAGGAGUAGUCUCCGUGCCGUCGGAGUAGUCUCUCUGCUGUAGGAGUAGUCUCCGUGACGUAGGAUUAGUCUCCCUGCUGUAGGAGUAGUCUGUAGGAGUAGUCUCCGUGACGUAGGAUUAGUCUCCCUGCUGUAGGAGUAGUCUGUAGGAGUAGUCUCCGUGCUGUAGUCUCUCCGCUGUAGGAGUAGUCCCUCCGCUGUAGGAGUAGUCUAUAGGGGUAGUCUCCCUGCUGUAGGAGUAGUCUCCAUGCUGUAGGAGUAGUCUGUAAGAGUAGUCUCUGUGCUGUAGGAAUAGUCUAUAGGAGUAGUCUUCAUGCCGUAGGAGUAGUCUGUAGGAGUAGUCUCCGUGCUGUAGGAGUAGUCUCCAUUCUGUAGGAGUAGUCUCCGUGCCGUAGGAGUAGUCUGUAGGAGUAGUCUCCGUGCUGUAGGAGUAGUCUCCAUUCUGUAGGAGUAGUCUCC